AGCGGCUGGCUGAGGUGACAGAUUCAAAGUAGUGGAGACUUGCCAGCACACCAGAAACUACCUUAGAGGCUGCAGAAAGAAAAGUGACAUCUGCCCGAACCUCAGAAUGUGACUUGCUGGUUUCCCUCAAAGUAUAAUUUUCGUGUUGAUUAAAUAAGAUAAUAUUCACAGAAGCACAGUGAAUAGGGAGGAAGCUAGCAGUAAGCUCCAAGGCCCUUCCCAGCUGUCUCUCUGUCUCCCCUGCCUGUUUCCCUCUUGUUCUGCAGACAGCAUCCUGCGGCUCCUUCUUUGGUUGACCCGUGCAUCCUUCCAGACCCCUGAGUUUCUGGGCCUCUAAAACAACAGGGAAAAUGUCAUGGAAUGGGUCUUCCUGUGAACUCUUUCCUCUGGCUCCUCACAGAGCCCCCAGGUGGCCUUAGAGACUGGACAAAGGUUCACUAGGUCAGGUACUAGGGCACAGGACACAGAGACAUUUCCAAUUUAUGUGGAAGACAUAAAUGAGUGUAGAGAGGAAACAUGGC
rnacentral:lncRNA from 1 species